GGGGAAGAUGACAUUGACGCCGCAGAAAGUUCCGCCGUCUUCAUCUAAAGAUUUGGCUGUGGCGAAGAGGCCGGGAUAUGGAACCAUUGGGGACAAAGUUGUUGUUCGAGCUAAUCAUUUUCUGGUUCAUGUUGCAGACAAAGAUCUCUACCAUUACGAUGUUUCCAUUAUACCUGAGGUUACAUCCAAAAAGGUCUGCCGAGAAAUUAUAGACCAGCUUGCAAAAAUGUAUAGAGAAUCUCAUUUGGGUGGAAGAUAUAUAGCAUAUGAUGGCG
rnacentral:misc_RNA from 1 species